rnacentral:snRNA from 1 species
GUUUUGCUGGCUUUGGCAGCACAUAUGCUAAAGUUGUAUGUAUACAGAGAUGAUUAGCAUGGCUCUUGCGCAAGGAUGACACACAAAUUCGUGAAGUGUUCCAUAUUUUC